rnacentral:rRNA from 1 species
UUAAGCGACUAAGCGUACACGGUGGAUGCCCUGGCAGUCAGAGGCGAUGAAGGACGUGCUAAUCUGCGAUAAGCGUCGGUAAGGUGAUAUGAACCGUUAUAACCGGCGAUUUCCGAAUGGGGAAACCCAGUGUGUUUCGACACACUAUCAUUAACUGAAUCCAUAGGUUAAUGAGGCGAACCGGGGGAACUGAAACAUCUAAGUACCCCGAGGAAAAGAAAUCAACCGAGAUUCCCCCAGUAGCGGCGAGCGAACGGGGAGCAGCCCAGAGCCUGAAUCAGUGUGUGUGUUAGUGGAAGCGUCUGGAAAGGCGCGCGAUACAGGGUGACAGCCCCGUACACAAAAAUGCACAUGCUGUGAGCUCGAUGAGUAGGGCGGGACACGUGGUAUCCUGUCUGAAUAUGGGGGGACCAUCCUCCAAGGCUAAAUACUCCUGACUGACCGAUAGUGAACCAGUACCGUGAGGGAAAGGCGAAAAGAACCCCGGCGAGGGGAGUGAAAAAGAACCUGAAACCGUGUACGUACAAGCAGUGGGAGCACGCUUAGGCGUGUGACUGCGUACCUUUUGUAUAAUGGGUCAGCGACUUAUAUUCUGUAGCAAGGUUAACCGAAUAGGGGAGCCGAAGGGAAACCGAGUCUUAACUGGGCGUUAAGUUGCAGGGUAUAGACCCGAAACCCGGUGAUCUAGCCAUGGGCAGGUUGAAGGUUGGGUAACACUAACUGGAGGACCGAACCGACUAAUGUUGAAAAAUUAGCGGAUGACUUGUGGCUGGGGGUGAAAGGCCAAUCAAACCGGGAGAUAGCUGGUUCUCCCCGAAAGCUAUUUAGGUAGCGCCUCGUGAACUCAUCUCCGGGGGUAGAGCACUGUUUCGGCAAGGGGGUCAUCCCGACUUACCAACCCGAUGCAAACUGCGAAUACCGGAGAAUGUUAUCACGGGAGACACACGGCGGGUGCUAACGUCCGUCGUGAAGAGGGAAACAACCCAGACCGCCAGCUAAGGUCCCAAAGUCAUGGUUAAGUGGGAAACGAUGUGGGAAGGCCCAGACAGCCAGGAUGUUGGCUUAGAAGCAGCCAUCAUUUAAAGAAAGCGUAAUAGCUCACUGGUCGAGUCGGCCUGCGCGGAAGAUGUAACGGGGCUAAACCAUGCACCGAAGCUGCGGCAGCGACGCUUAUGCGUUGUUGGGUAGGGGAGCGUUCUGUAAGCCUGCGAAGGUGUGCUGUGAGGCAUACUGGAGGUAUCAGAAGUGCGAAUGCUGACAUAAGUAACGAUAAAGCGGGUGAAAAGCCCGCUCGCCGGAAGACCAAGGGUUCCUGUCCAACGUUAAUCGGGGCAGGGUGAGUCGACCCCUAAGGCGAGGCCGAAAGGCGUAGUCGAUGGGAAACAGGUUAAUAUUCCUGUACUUGGUGUUACUGCGAAGGGGGGACGGAGAAGGCUAUGUUGGCCGGGCGACGGUUGUCCCGGUUUAAGCGUGUAGGCUGGUUUUCCAGGCAAAUCCGGAAAAUCAAGGCUGAGGCGUGAUGACGAGGCACUACGGUGCUGAAGCAACAAAUGCCCUGCUUCCAGGAAAAGCCUCUAAGCAUCAGGUAACAUCAAAUCGUACCCCAAACCGACACAGGUGGUCAGGUAGAGAAUACCAAGGCGCUUGAGAGAACUCGGGUGAAGGAACUAGGCAAAAUGGUGCCGUAACUUCGGGAGAAGGCACGCUGAUAUGUAGGUGAAGUCCCUCGCGGAUGGAGCUGAAAUCAGUCGAAGAUACCAGCUGGCUGCAACUGUUUAUUAAAAACACAGCACUGUGCAAACACGAAAGUGGACGUAUACGGUGUGACGCCUGCCCGGUGCCGGAAGGUUAAUUGAUGGGGUUAGCCGCAAGGCGAAGCUCUUGAUCGAAGCCCCGGUAAACGGCGGCCGUAACUAUAACGGUCCUAAGGUAGCGAAAUUCCUUGUCGGGUAAGUUCCGACCUGCACGAAUGGCGUAAUGAUGGCCAGGCUGUCUCCACCCGAGACUCAGUGAAAUUGAACUCGCUGUGAAGAUGCAGUGUACCCGCGGCAAGACGGAAAGACCCCGUGAACCUUUACUAUAGCUUGACACUGAACAUUGAGCCUUGAUGUGUAGGAUAGGUGGGAGGCUUAGAAGUGUGGACGCCAGUCUGCAUGGAGCCGACCUUGAAAUACCACCCUUUAAUGUUUGAUGUUCUAACGUUGACCCGUAAUCCGGGUUGCGGACAGUGUCUGGUGGGUAGUUUGACUGGGGCGGUCUCCUCCUAAAGAGUAACGGAGGAGCACGAAGGUUGGCUAAUCCUGGUCGGACAUCAGGAGGUUAGUGCAAUGGCAUAAGCCAGCUUGACUGCGAGCGUGACGGCGCGAGCAGGUGCGAAAGCAGGUCAUAGUGAUCCGGUGGUUCUGAAUGGAAGGGCCAUCGCUCAACGGAUAAAAGGUACUCCGGGGAUAACAGGCUGAUACCGCCCAAGAGUUCAUAUCGACGGCGGUGUUUGGCACCUCGAUGUCGGCUCAUCACAUCCUGGGGCUGAAGUAGGUCCCAAGGGUAUGGCUGUUCGCCAUUUAAAGUGGUACGCGAGCUGGGUUUAGAACGUCGUGAGACAGUUCGGUCCCUAUCUGCCGUGGGCGCUGGAGAACUGAGGGGGGCUGCUCCUAGUACGAGAGGACCGGAGUGGACGCAUCACUGGUGUUCGGGUUGUCAUGCCAAUGGCACUGCCCGGUAGCUAAAUGCGGAAGAGAUAAGUGCUGAAAGCAUCUAAGCACGAAACUUGCCCCGAGAUGAGUUCUCCCUGACUCCUUGAGAGUCCUGAAGGAACGUUGAAGACGACGACGUUGAUAGGCCGGGUGUGUAAGCGCAGCGAUGCGUUGAGCUAACCGGUACUAAUGAACCGUGAGGCUUAAC